GCAUAAUGUAUUAUUUUUACAAUUUAUUAUUUUUUUUACUAUAUAAACACACUAAUUUCCACAUUUAGUAAACAGAUUGCAGUACUUAGGAAUUUGUAUUUGUAUGUAAUUUUAUCGUUUAAUACAGAAAUGUGUUUGUAUGGAAUGUUAUAAUUUGCGUGCAGAGGUGUAUUUGGAUGUAGUGUUGGAUUUUUAAUGUGGAUGUACAUUUGUGUGUAAUAUUGGUGUUUGUAUAUAA